rnacentral:rRNA from 1 species
AGUGGCGCACGGGUGAGUAACACGUGGGAACCUGCCUUUCUCAGCGGGAUAACGGUUGGAAACGACCGCUAAUACCGCAUACGCCCUACGGGGGAAAGGUCCGCCGGAGAAAGAGGGGCCCGCGUCUGAUUAGCUAGUUGGUAGGGUAAUGGCCUACCAAGGCGACGAUCAGUAGCUGGUCUGAGAGGACGAUCAGCCACACUGGGACUGAGACACGGCCCAGACUCCUACGGGAGGCAGCAGUGGGGAAUAUUGGACAAUGGGGGCAACCCUGAUCCAGCAAUGCCGCGUGUGUGAUGAAGGCCUUAGGGUUGUAAAGCACUUUCACUGGUGAAGAUGAUGACGGUAACCAGAGAAGAAGCCCCGGCUAACUUCGUGCCAGCAGCCGCGGUAAUACGAAGGGGGCGAGCGUUGUUCGGAAUUACUGGGCGUAAAGGGCGCGUAGGCGGUCUUUUAAGUUAGGCGUGAAAGCCCCGGGCUCAACCCGGGAACUGCGCUUAAGACUGGAAGACUAGAAAACGGAAGAGGGUAGUGGAAUUCCCAGUGUA